GAGGCGUUCAUGUGCGGUUUGUUGAUGGUGCGAAUUCUCUUUGACUAGGGAUCCAAAGAGGGUGCUAGACCCUUACGCAUUGUUGACUUUUCGUACGCGUUCGUUUCUUGGAGUAGGGUUGUUUUGGAUCGCAGCCCAAAGUAGGUGGUAUACUUCAUCUAAAGCUAAAUACGACUACGAAUCCGAUAGCAAACAAGUACCGUGAGGGAAAGUUGCAAAGUACUUUGAAGAGAGAGUUCAAGAGGACGUGAAACCGGUAGGGUGGAAGCAGAUAAAGUUGACGAACGUGUGUCGUAUUCAGAACUACAAUUUGUGGUUUGUUUUUACGAUCGAUGUGGGCUGGCGUCUUUGGUUAACUUAGUGUCUGGCGGCAAUGGUGACCCUGCGGAGGGAUAAUCGGUUGUCGUGCGAUGCUUGGUAUGGCUAGAGGUUCGCUGGUCUUAUAGUCAUCGCUUUAUCUGACCCGUCUUGAAACACGGACCAAGGAGUGUACGCUUACGCGAGUCUUAGAGUGUGUCAAAACUUUGAGGCGUAACGAAAGUAAAUGUGGAUUUAUUCACUGACUUGGGAUGCGUUGUCUUUUUUGGAUAGCGUUGGACCAUGGUUUUAUCGUAAUCGCUUGCGAUGCGGUGAAAAUAGAGCGUAAGCGGUGCGACCCGAAAGAUGGUGAACUAUGCCUGAGCAGGAUGAAG
rnacentral:rRNA from 2 species